AGGGAAUCUUCCGCAAUGGGCGAAAGCCUGACGGAGCAACGCCGCGUGAGUGAAGAAGGAUUUCGGUUCGUAAAGCUCUGUUGUUAGGGAAGAAUGAUUGUGUAGUAACUAUACACAGUAGAGACGGUACCUAACCAGAAAGCCACGGCUAACUACGUGCCAGCAGCCGCGGUAAUACGUAGGUGGCAAGCGUUGUCCGGAAUUAUUGGGCGUAAAGCGCGCGCAGGUGGUUUAAUAAGUCUGAUGUGAAAGCCCACGGCUCAACCGUGGAGGGUCAUUGGAAACUGUUAAACUUGAGUGCAGGAGAGAAAAGUGGAAUUCCUAGUGUAGCGGUGAAAUGCGUAGAGAUUAGGAGGAACACCAGUGGCGAAGGCGGCUUUUUGGCCUGUAACUGACACUGAGGCGCGAAAGCGUGGGGAGCAAACAGGAUUAGAUACCCUGGUAGUCCACGCCGUAAACGAUGAGUGCUAAGUGUUGGUCUCAUAAGAGAUCAGUGCUGCAGCUAACGCAUUAAGCACUCCGCCUGGGGAGUACGACCGCAAGGUUG
rnacentral:rRNA from 1 species